CAUAAAGAAAACCAGACAGAGAAUAGAAAACCAGAAAAACUAAACAAGAAUUGUAAAAAGAGUACUGGAUACCAGAAGCCAAGGUCAGACAUCUGAACAGAACAGAACAGGUCGUGACAGUUGCACCCUUGGCACACAUAACUUAGACAGCUUAGAACUCUGUUCUGAGCUGCUAAAUGUCUAUUCUGUGCAAGGGGAGGCAUGUAUCGUUCCUCCCACACUGAAUGAAGC